rnacentral:rRNA from 1 species
UACAGAGGGUGCAAGCGUUAAUCGGAAUUACUGGGCGUAAAGCGAACGUAGGCGGUUAUCUAAGUCGGAUGUGAAAUCCCCGGGCUCAACCUGGGAAUUGCAUUCGAGACUGAAUAGCUAGAAUGCGGAAGAGGGAAGCGGAAUUUCCGGUGUAGCGGUGAAAUGCGUAGAUAUCGGAAGGAACAUCAGUGGCGAAAGCGGCUUCCUGGUCCAGCAUUGACGCUCAGGUUCGAAAGCGUGGGGAGCAAACAGGAUUAGAUACCCUGGUAGUCCACGCCAUAAACGAUGAGGACUAGACGUUGAGAGGGUUAGCCUCCCAGUGUCGUAGCUAACGCGCUAAGUCCUCCGCCUGGGGAGUACGGCCGCAAGGUUGAA